AUACGGAAGGUCCGGGCGUGAUCCGGAUUUAUUGGGUUUAAAGGGAGCGCAGGCGGAGAUGCAAGCGUGACGUCAAAUUUCGGGGCUCAACCCCGUCUCGCGUCGCGAACUGCGUCCCUUGGUUGCGGGAAGGGGAGGCGGAACUCGUGGUGUAGCGGUGAAAUGCAUAGAUAUCACGAAGAACUCCGAUCGCGAAGGCAGCCUUCCGGCCCGUCAACGACGCUCAUGCUCGAAGGUGCGGGUAUCAAACAGGAUUAGAUACCCUGGUAGUCCGCACAGUAAACGAUGGACACCCGCGGUUUGGCCUGUAUGGCUGAGCCGCCAAGCGAAAGCGUUAAGUGUCCCACCUGGGGAGUACGCCGGCAACGGUGAAACUUAAAGGAAUUGACGGGG
rnacentral:rRNA from 1 species